rnacentral:sRNA from 1 species
CUUCCUCCAUGAUCUGCGGGCAGAUGAAGUGCACGUGGCAGUCGAUCGCGCCCGCGGUCAGGAUCCGUCCGUUGCCCGCGAUGAUCUCGGUGGACGGUCCGACGACCAGGUCGGGAUGCACCCCCGUCAUGGUGUCCGGGUUGCCUGCCUUGCCGAGCGCGACUAUCCGGCCGUCCCGGAUCCCGACGUCCGCCUUGAUGAUUCCCCAGUGGUCGAGGACCACCACCCCGGUGAUGACGGUGUCGGGUGCCCCUUCGGCGCGGGUCGCGCGCCCCUGUCCCAUGGAUUCGCGGAG